ACGGUCAUUUUUGCUGAGGAGCGAAUGACACAGUCCCCUCUUUCGUGUAUGGAAGGCAGGGAUCAUGUAGAUGUCAAAAAAAGCAGAGGGUAGAGAGUUUGAAGAGGUUUUUCUUUGGUUCGGCUGGCUGAGUCCGUCUCCCAUCAUUUGCAUACACUCUCCCUCACGCUCCCCCUUUCACUCUCAUUUUUUACGGACAAGGAGUGAACACCCCGCUGCUCCUCUUAGUAGCCUUACUCUAGCCAUUCACCUCCCUCUCUGAUCUCCUUCCCUCUUGCAUGGCCGAACCCCACGCUGGCCUCACCAAACUCGAGCCCUAUCCCUCAUCAACGCCAGCCUCACCGAGCCCCAUAUGGUCUUCUCUAGCCGAAUCCUUCUUUGGAUCGCAAGUAUACCUCUUAUUGAUGAUUUGUGAUUUGAGUUCACAUUGGAGUAUAAUUGGUCGGCUUGAUGCUCGUCUUAUGUGAUCCGUAGAGACUUUUCCUUCUUUGAGCCUAUAUUGUGGAAGUUGGAAAUUUAUCAGAAAGCAACUACAUGUUUUAUGUCUUGAAUCAAUAUUGUAUUGUGAUGAUGGAAAUGUUCUUUGUGCUCGUUUAUUUGAGGUAAGACCAAGUAAAACUCACUAAUGCUUGCUCUUUCCUUGCAAAUCUUGUUGUUUUAUAAUACUUAUGAGCAAGUACUGUUUCUUUAUAGAUAUAUGAGUACAAAAUCUGAGAACCUUCUUUAA